UACGGGGGGGGCAAGCGUUGUUCGGAAUUACUGGGCGUAAAGGGCUCGUAGGCGGCCAACUAAGUCAGACGUGAAAUCCCUCGGCUUAACCGGGGAACUGCAUCUGAUACUGGAUGGCUUGAGAUUGGGAGAGGGAUGCGGAAUUCCAGGUGUAGCGGUGAAAUGCGUAGAUAUCUGGAGGAACACCGGUGGCGAAGGCGGCAUCCUGGACCGGUAUUGACGCUGAUGCGCGAAAGCCAGGGGAGCAAACGGG
rnacentral:rRNA from 1 species